UCCUUGGAGGGUUAGUGGUUAGGCUUUAGUGCUCUCACCACCACGGCCUGGGUUCGAUUCCCAGCCACUGGG